GGUGGUAUGAUACUAAACCCCUAACGGGAAGGAUUGUGCCUGAUGUUCAUAUGAUGAAAUCAUAAUCUUUCAGUCAGUUUAAUUGAAGUCUGGAGCUGGCAUGUCAGUUAACUGCUAGUAGUCUGUUGUUAUUUAUGUAUUAUUGUCAUUUUGUUUAUUUUCUUUGGUUACAUCUUCUGACAUCAGACUCGGACUUCUCUUGAACUGAAUUUUAAUGUGCGUAUUGUUAUGCGUUUACUUUUCUAUAUUGGCUAGAGGUAUAGGGGGAGGGUUGAGAUCUCACAAACAUGUUUAACCCCGCCACAUUUUUGCGGUUGUCCCAAGUCAUGAGCCUC
rnacentral:lncRNA from 1 species